rnacentral:rRNA from 1 species
GACGAACGCUGGCGGCGUGCUCAACACAUGCAAGUCGAGCGGUAAGGCCCUUUCGGGGGUACACGAGCGGCGAACGGGUGAGUAACACGUGGGUGACCUGCCCUCAGCUCUGGGAUAAGCCUGGGAAACUGGGUCUAAUACUGGAUAUGACUCCACGGUGCAUGUCGUGGGGUGGAAAGCCUUGUGCGGCUGAGGAUGGGCCCGCGGCCUAUCAGCUUGUUGGGGGGUGAUGGCCUACCAAGGCGACGACGGGUAGCCGGCCUGAGAGGGCGACCGGCCACACUGGGACUGAGACACGGCCCAGACUCCUACGGGAGGCAGCAGUGGGGAAUCUUGCGCAAUGGGCGAAAGCCUGACGCAGCGACGCCGCGUGAGGGAUGACGGCCUGG